rnacentral:misc_RNA from 1 species
AAGUCGUAACAAGGUUUCCGUAGGUGAACCUGCGGAAGGAUCAUUAAAGAGUAAGGGUGCUCAGCGCCCGACCUCCAAACCUUUGUUGUUAAAACUACCUUGUUGCUUUGGCGGGACCGCUCGGUCUCGAGCCGCUGGGGAUUCGUCCCAGGCGAGCGCCCGCCAGAGUUAAACCAAACUCUUGUUAUCAAAACCGGUCGUCUGAGUAAAAAUUUUGAAUAAAUCAAAACUUUCAACAACGGAUCUCUUGGUUCUC